rnacentral:lncRNA from 1 species
CUUAAAUCAAAUAUACACAAAAGUAAAAUAUCAUACAUCGAACAAAAUUAACUAAUAAAUGCUUAAAAUUAAAAAUGCUUUAAAAUUACAAUAACUCAAUGUUUUUGAUGCACGACUUCCAAGCUGCACUUAUGGCCGUUGGAUCGGUUUUAUUAAUUGGCUUGGAUUUAUCCCUUCUACUCAUGUUAAUUGCAGUGGCUUCCGCAACUCUUCCUCUUUUUGGGUCCUGUUGUUCAUAUAGGAGGAAUACAGUAUUUAACCUACUAAGAAACGAUAAGGAUAAAUGGCAGGUUUUUUCUAAGCCUGGUGUAUAUGAGAUUCCAGCCAAAGACAACACCCUAGACCAGGACAUUAAAUAUAUAGGAUAUACUUCAAGAUCUUUGAACAAACAAUUGAA